UACGUAGGUGGCGAGCGUUGUCCGGAUUUACUGGGCGUAAAGGGCGUGCAGGCGGUUUGUUAAGUGCAGGGUGAAAGCUCCCGGCUCAACUGGGAGAGGUCCUUGCAUACUGGCGAACUCGAGGGAGGCAGAGGAAAGUGGAAUUCCCGGUGUAGUGGUGAUAUGCGUAGAGAUCGGGAGGAACACCAGUGGCGAAGGCGGCCGGCUGGGGGUGACCUGACGCUGAGGCGCGAAAGCGUGGGGAGCGAACCGG
rnacentral:rRNA from 1 species